rnacentral:rRNA from 1 species
UACAGAGGUCUCAAGCGUUGUUCGGAUUCAUUGGGCGUAAAGGGUGCGUAGGUGGCGGGGUUAGUCAGGUGUGAAAUCUCGAGGCUCAACCUUGAAACUGCACUUGAUACUGCCUUGCUAGAGUACUGGAGAGGAGAUUGGAAUUUACGGUGUAGCAGUGAAAUGCGUAGAUAUCGUAAGGAAGACCAGUGGCGAAGGCGAAUCUCUGGACAGUUACUGACACUGAGGCACGAAGGCCAGGGGAGCAAACGGG